rnacentral:misc_RNA from 1 species
GAUGAAGAACGUAGCGAAAUGCGUUAAGUAAUGUGAAUUGCAGAAUUCAGUGAAUCAUCGAAUCUUUGAACGCACAUUGCGCCCCCUGGUAUUCCGGGGGGCAUGCCUGUCCGAGCGUCAUUACAACCCUCAAGCUCAGCUUGGUGUUGGGCCCCGCCGCCCCGGCGGGCCCUAAAGUCAGUGGCGGUGCCGUCCGGCUCCGAGCGUAGUAAUUCUUCUCGCUCUGGAGGUCCGGUCGUGUGCUCGCCAGCAACCCCCAAUUUUUUUCAGGUUGACCUCGGAUCAGGUAGGGAUACCCGCUGAACUUAAGCAUAUCAAUAAGCGGAGGA